CCCAGCCAUAGUUUCACAACACCGUCCCGCAGGGACGCGCGCACAGUCGCCCAGUUAUCCAAAGACACAAGUGUCCCGCAGCCGCACAAUGCGGGCGGCGCUCACAACACAACACGCGCCAGCACGUGGAUGUGCAGACACACGCGGACACAGAAAGCGGCGGAGCCGACGCGCCGGGACCCGCGGCCCCAAGGAAAAACCAGCCACCAUGUUGUAAGGAUGCUCAAGUAGCACUAUGGAGAUUCACACGUGGCAAAGAGCUGAGGCCUCCCACCAACAGCCACAUGAGGGAGCCAGAGUAGGAGUGGCUCCUCCAGCCCCAGUCGAACCUUCAGAUGUGACAGACUUGGCUGCUGACAGUUUGCAAUCUCAUGAGACCCUGAGCCAGAACCACCCAGCUAAAUCAGUCCUGGACUCCUGAUCAACAGAAAUGGUGUAGACCAAAGAGAGGCGUUUUGAACAUUAAGACGCUUUGCUGCUUCUCACCUGAAACACGUAACAGGAACACCAACCUCUUCAGCCGCGGGAAAUCUUCUUUGACACAAAACUCAAACCGAGUCAACCCAAAGUUCCAAGUUCUUUGCUUUCUCUUCUGUGUGUGUGUUGGUUUGUCCCAAAAGUCAGUUUGCAAGUUGAAACUUCAUGAAAUUACUCGUAGCAGAAAUAAAGUACAUUGUACAAAUCA
rnacentral:lncRNA from 1 species